rnacentral:rRNA from 1 species
UUCCGGUUGAUCCCGCCGGAGGCUACCGCUAUUGGAGUUCGAUUAAGCCAUGCGAGUCGCGAGUCUUAGGGACUCGGCGUACCGCUCAGUAACACGUGGGUAACCUGCCCUAUGCUGGGGGAUAACCUCGGGAAACUGAGAAUAAUACCCCAUAGUUCACCACGCCUGGAACGGUGGGUGGAUCAAAGCUCCGGCGGCAUAGGAUGGGCCUGCGGCGUAUCAGGUUGUAGGGGGUGUAAUGUACCCUCUAGCCCUCUACGCGUACGGGUGUUGAGAGACAUCGCCCGGAGAUGGAUUCUGAGACACGAAUCCAGACCCUACGGGGUGCAGCAGGCGCGAAAACUUGGCAAUGCGAGAAAUCGUGACCAGGGAACUCCAAGUGCAUCGGGUAAGACCGAUGCUUUUCUUGACUCUUCAAAGGUCUUGGAAUAAGGGGUGGGUAAGGACGGUGCCAGCCGCCGCGGUAAUACCGGCGCCCCAAGUGGUAGUCGCUUUUAUUGGGCCUAAAACGUCCGUAGCCGGUCUGGUACAUUCGUGGGUAAAUCAACCAGCUCAACUGGUUGAAUUCUGCGAGCACGGCCAGACUUGGGACCGGGAGAGGUGUGGGGUACUCUCAGGGUAGGGGUAAAAUCCUGUCAUCCUGAGGGGACCACCUGUUGCGAAGGCGCCACACUAGAACGGAUCCGACGGUCAGGGACGAAGCCUAGGGGCACGAACCGGAUUAGAUACCCGGGUAGUCCUAGGUGUAAACGCUGUGGACUUGAUGUUGGGGGCGCUCCGAGCGCACUCAGUGUCGAAGCGAAGGUGAUAAGUCCACUGCCUGGGGAGUACGGUCGCAAGGCUGAAACUUAAAGGAAUUGGCGGGGGAGCACCGCAACCUGAGGAUUGUGCGGUUUAAUUGGAUUCAACGCCGGA